AUUGAACGCUGGCGGCAGGCCUAACACAUGCAAGUCGAGCGGAUGAAGGGAGCUUGCUCCUGGAUUCAGCGGCGGACGGGUGAGUAAUGCCUAGGAAUCUGCCUGGUAGUGGGGGAUAACGUCCGGAAACGGGCGCUAAUACCGCAUACGUCCUGAGUGAGAAAGUGGGGGAUCUUCGGACCUCACGCUAUCUGAUGAGCCUAGGUCGGAUUAGCUAGUUGGUUGGGUAAAGGCCUACCAAGGCGACGAUCCGUAACUGGUCUGAGAGGAUGAUCAGUCACACUGGAACUGAGACACGGUCCAGACUCCUACGGGAGGCAGCAGUGGGGAAUAUUGGACAAUGGGCGAAAGCCUGAUCCAGCCAUGCCGCGUGUGUGAAGAAGGUCUUCGGAUUGUAAAGCACUUUAAGUUGGGAGGAAGGGCAGUAAGUUAAUACCUUGCUGUUUUGACGUUACCAACAGAAUAAGCACCGGCUAACUUCGUG
rnacentral:rRNA from 1 species